UUUCACAGUUGGAGUUGCUGAUAGAAUACAAAAACAGGGGGGGGAGAGAGAGAGAGAGAGAGAGAGAGAGAGAGAGAGAGAAGACAGGGGAAGGAGGGAGGGAGGAAAAAAAACCGGGAGAGGGGAGGUGGGGGAGAGAUAAACACAGCGAGGCCUCUGGCUCGGCGGCGCCCGAGAUGCGGCUCCACUGUUCUCCUUCCGGCGGCGCGCCGCUGCGGGAGGCGCCAAUGGCGCUGGACUGAUCUGUGAGUCGUCCGCUUCUCAAGUGCCGGCGGCGGUUGAAGGUCAGACCUUGCCGGUGGAAUGCACGGGCGGCGAGGCGGCAAGGCAUGUUACUUCUCGCGCAAUUCGAGAUCGGUUCCCCUGAUUGCGCUCAUUUCUUGAUUGCUUCGGAGGUUCAAUCCUGAAUUUAAGGAGGGGAAAAGCGGCCGUUUCCAGUUUGCAACUAGUUUGCUUGUGUAGAUUUGGCUGCUGGGAGAUUCAUGCAGCCUUUAGGAUUGCUGAGGAGUCGUUGUGAAGUUUGAAGGCUGUUCUGGUGAUGUUGGGGGACCAGCGCAUGGUAUCGGCCUUAGACUCAGCAAGCUCGUCAAGCUCGGCCCCUGAUUUGACCCUCUCUGAAGAGCUCAGUUCUGGAAGCAGCAACUGUGUGACUGAGAGCCUGCAGGUGGCUUGGGCAGAGAAGGGAGGACAGGUGGAGGCUGUGGUGAAUUGUUAUAGCAAGAAGAAUAAGGUUGGCAGUGUUUCAGGGAAUCCUGCAACCGAAUCUUGGGGCUCUGGGAUGGAGGAUGCUGAUCAGAAUGGCGAAGUCAACACAAAUGAGCUCAUCGGCGGGAUCGGUCGGGAGUUGACCAUCUCCUGCCUGCUCCGUCUUCCCCGGUCCUACUAUUAUGACGUGGCAUGUGUCAACCGGUCUUUCUACUCCCUUGUAAGGUCUGGGGAGCUUUAUAGGUUGAGACGGGAGGUCCGGAUUGUCGAGCAGAUGAUCUAUUGCUCAUGCAAUGUGCUCGAGUGGGAUGGUUUUGAUCCAUGCCGCCAACGGUGGUUCAGCAUCACUUCCAUGCCUGCCAUAGAAUGCUUCACACUUGCUGAUAAAGAAUCCCUGGCUGUGGGCACCAAUAUCCUUGUCUUCGGGAGGAGGGUGGAGGCCCAUGUUGUGCUGAGGUAUAGCCUUCUAACUAACUCCUGGACAACUGGGGAGAUGAUGAACACACCGAGGUGCUUGUUUGGCUCAGCAAGCUUCGGUGAGAAGGCUAUUGUAGCUGGUGGUAUCGGUGAGAAUGGUACAUUGAGCUCUGCUGAGCUUUAUGAUUCUGAGAUGCAGACCUGGACCACUCUUCCAAGCAUGAACAAGGCGCGGCAGAUGUGCUCUGGUUUCUUCAUGGAUGGCAAGUUCUAUGUCAUUGGGGGGAAGGCUGAGAAGCACAAUGAGAUCCUUAGUUGUGCUGAGGAGUUUGAUUUGGAGAAUGGCACUUGGCGAUUGAUCCCAGAUAUGGCGCGAGGCCUUAAUGGUGGGAGUGGUGCUCCACCUCUUGUUGCUGUUGUGAAUAAUGAACUUUAUGCUGCUGAUUAUGCAUCAAAGGAGGUUAGAAAGUAUGAUAAGGUAAAUAAUGCUUGGAUCACUCUUGGAUCAUUACCUGGGAGGUAUACAUCAGUUCAUGGCUGGGGCUUAGCUUUUCGCAGCUGUGGAGAUAUGCUCAUUGUCAUUGGUGGAAUGAGUGUUGGUGGUAGUGGGGUGAUUGAAAUUUGUUCCUGGGUACCCAAUAAUGGACUGCCUGAUUGGAAGAUUAUUGGCACCCGCCAUUCAGGAAGCUUUGUAUACAACUGUGCUGUGAUGAGUUGUUGACAUACAAGGGCUAUUACAUUAUCAAAACUGUACAUCUUGACCAAAAGGAAGGAUAAAGAAGGCAAAUUCUGCUGAGCCUGUUUACUACAUGAUGGGGAAUUUCUGUCCCCUGGCAUUUUAGGCUGAGCUGAAGUGGAUGAUCUUAGGGAUAUCAAAAGAAUAUAGGAUUCCUAGUACAUGAGCAUUAUCACCACAGCUGCAACAUGGAAGGAGUCCAGUUUGAGGCUUGCAGGGAUAAUUUCAGUGGAGAACAAACUAAAGCAUGGAACAAGUAUAUGGCAUUGUGCUUCGCCUGGAGAACCAAGAAAAGCAGAAGCAGAAAGGACAAGCAAUCAAACAAAUAGUGUUACUCACAAGUGCGACAAGUCUCUAAAAAAGAAUCGAAUCCAUCCCUACAUCUGAUGGAGAUGUUCUUUAAUUACAUGCCGUUGAUUUUUUUCCCACUAAUUGUUUAACCACAGGUUCGUCAUUUCCUUCAUAUGCGAUGCAGGGUUCAAGUUUGGUAGAAUCUCCAUCGUAACCGCUCCAUUAGCUGCAUGUGUCUUGGUGGCUACAUGGUGGUGAAGGUUUUGAUGGCAAGUAUCAAAACUCGAGCACUAUGAAUAAUCUAUGCAGGGGAAAUCAAUGGUGAGUAUGUAAAAGCUUCUUGCUUACACGUCUGAGUCAAUUUAGUCACAGUUGGUAUGAUGUAAAUCUGCCAUUUGGGUAUUUUAGAAAUUCCUCUCCAAAGCAAGAUGGGGCAUAAAGUUAUCGCUAAGGAAUUUGUCCUGCGCUAUAUUGUUCUUGAUGCACCUACUUUGGUGCAUAAAGUUGCUAAUGUCACUGCUUUAUGGUCAUGAUGUGUCUAUAUUUUGUUGGUUUGUAGUCCAAUGAUGUGUUCCCCCCUAUUAAUUUGCUCAGGUCACAACCUAGAAAGUUAGAUUAGAUGCAACUCAAUGGGCUGAAGGAUGUGCUCAAUUAUUUUGUGGAUGUUGCCCUUGUCCUUGAGAAGGGAAGUCAUUACCAAACGUAUUGAAAAAGUCCAACUGAGGCAGACUCAAGUGAUGAUGCCUCAGGACUCAGGCCAGUCUUGUGUAUCCUUCACUUGCCAUUUGCUGUACGAGGCAAAAGGCAAUGCCAAUAGGGACUUCAAAAUUUUGUCACAAGCUUAUUACUUCGUAACUUCGUUGGUGUUGUCAUCUCAGGAAAUGGAUGAGUGCAGGUUACCGAACAUUACAUGUUGGAAAAAAUGGUGCUCUUGCAUUGGCUGCGAUUACAGCUUGGCAGGUAUCUAUGCCUUCAGUUCCCUUGUGGUCCAUAACAGAAUGCUCAUUGCAUCUAAACUGGUAAAGUAUUACAUGGUGUGGCUGUGGCAUUCAGGUGCCCCUUAUGCUUUUGCAGUUCUUUGGUUCUUGAGGAAAAAAAAGGGAGAAAAUUUUCUUUGUAGAUUGCAACUUUGUGGUGUGUACCUGGGCAGUUGAGUGCUUUUAUCAUCACUCCAGUUAUUCUGAAUGAGCUGUUCUCCCAACUGCUAGACUAAGGUUGCAUAUAUGCACAUGGAUCAAGAUGUGUGCAGUUUUUCCUCAUUUAAGCUACAAUCCAAUUUCAACAGCUCCAGCCUUCUCCACA